UACGUAGGGUGCAAGCGUUAUCCGGAAUUAUUGGGCGUAAAGAGCUCGUAGGCGGUUUGUCGCGUCUGCUGUGAAAACUGGGGGGCUCAACCCCCCAGCCUGCAGUGGGUACGGGCAGACUAGAGUGCGGUAGGGGGAGAUUGGAAUUCCUGGUGUAGCGGUGAAAUGCGCAGAUAUCAGGAGGAACACCGGUGGCGAAGGCGGGUCUCUGGGCCGAUACUGACGCUGAGGAGCGAAAGCGUGGGGAGCGA
rnacentral:rRNA from 1 species